rnacentral:rRNA from 1 species
CCUACGGGUGGCAGCAGUGAGGAAUAUUGGUCAAUGGGCGAGAGCCUGAACCAGCCAAGUCGCGUGAAGGAUGACGGCCCUACGGGUUGUAAACUUCUUUUGUCAGGGAGCAAUUGAGUCCACGUGUGGGCUUAGCGAGAGUACCUGAAGAAAAAGAAUGGGCUAACUCCGUGCAAGCAGCCGCGGUAAUACGGAGGAUGCGAGCGUUAUCUGUAUUUAUUGGGUUUAAAGGGUGCGUAGGGGGAUUAUCAUUUCGGCGGUAAAGAUUCGGGGCUAAACCCCGUCGUGCAGUUGAAACUGAUGUUCUUGAGUGCGCGAGAGGUAUGCGGAAUGCGUGGUGUAGCGGUGAAAUGCAUAGAUAUCACGCAGAACUCCGAUUGCGAAGGCAGCAUACCGGCGCCCAACUGACGCUGAAGCACGAAAGCGUGGGUAUCGAACAGGAUUAGAUACCCGGGUAGUC